AUACGUAGGUGGCGAGCGUUGUCCGGAAUUACUGGGCGUAAAGGGCGCGCAGGCGGCGCGUUAAGUCCGGGGUGAAAUCCAUCGGCUCAACCGGUGGGGGACCUUGGAUACUGGCGCACUGGAGUGCGGGAGAGGGACGCGGAAUUCCACGUGUAACGGUGAAAUGUAUAGAUAUGUGGAGGAACACCGGUGGCGAAGGCGGCUUCCUGGACCGUAACUGACGCUGAGGCGCGAAAGCUGGGGGAGCGAACCGGAUUAGAUACCCUGGUAGUCCCAGCCGUAAACCAUGAACACUAGGUGUGGGGGGUAUCGACCCCUUCCGUGCCGCAGCCAACGCAAUAAGUAUCCCGCCUGGGGAGUACGGUCGCAAGGCUGAA
rnacentral:rRNA from 1 species